AGUAACACGUGGGUAACCUGCCUGUAAGACUGGGAUAACUCCGGGAAACCGGGGCUAAUACCGGAUAACUCAGUUCCUCGCAUGAGGAACGGUUGAAAGGUGGCUUUUAGCUACCACUUACAGAUGGACCCGCGGCGCAUUAGCUAGUUGGUGAGGUAACGGCUCACCAAGGCGACGAUGCGUAGCCGACCUGAGAGGGUGAUCGGCCACACUGGGACUGAGACACGGCCCAGACUCCUACGGGAGGCAGCAGUAGGGAAUCUUCCGCAAUGGACGAAAGUCUGACGGAGCAACGCCGCGUGAGUGAAGAAGGUUUUCGGAUCGUAAAACUCUGUUGUUAGGGAAGAACAAGUGCCGUUCGAAUAGGGCGGCACCUUGACGGUACCUAACCAGAAAGCCACGGCUA
rnacentral:rRNA from 1 species